rnacentral:rRNA from 1 species
AGUGGCGGACGGGUGAGUAACGCGUGAGAAUCUGCCUUGGGGUCGGGGACAACCACUGGAAACGGUGGCUAAUACCGGAUAAGCCGAUUGGUGAAAGAUUUAUUGCCCGAAGAGGAGCUCGCGUCUGAUUAGCUAGUUGGUGAGGUAAGAGCUCACCAAGGCAGCGAUCAGUAGCUGGUCUGAGAGGACGAUCAGCCACACUGGGACUGAGACACGGCCCAGACUCCUACGGGAGGCAGCAGUGGGGAAUUUUCCGCAAUGGGCGAAAGCCUGACGGAGCAAGACCGCGUGAGGGAGGAAGGCUCUUGGGUUGUAAACCUCUUUUCUCAGGGAAGAAGCUCUACGGUACCUGAGGAAUCAGCCUCGGCUAACUCCGUGCCAGCAGCCGCGGUAAUACGGAGGAGGCAAGCGUUAUCCGGAAUUAUUGGGCGUAAAGCGUCCGCAGGUGGCGAUUCAAGUCUGCUGUCAAAGCACGGGGCUUAACUCCGUAAAGGCAGUGGAAACUGAAUAGCUAGAGUGCCGUAGGGGUAGAGGGAAUUCCCGGUGUAGCGGUGAAAUGCGUAGAGAUCGGGAAGAACAUCGGUGGCGAAAGCGCUCUACUGGACGGCAACUGACACUCAGGGACGAAAGCUAGGGGAGCGAAUGGGAUUAGAUACCCC